rnacentral:rRNA from 1 species
UAGUCCACGCCGUAAACGAUGUGUACUAGCUGUUGGGGAGCAUGGCUCUUCAGUGGCGCAGCUAACGCAAUAAGUACACCGCCUGGGAAGUACGGCCGCAAGGUUAAAACUCAAAGGAAUUGACGGGGACCCGCACAAGCGGUGGAGCAUGUUCUUUAAUUCGAAGCAACGCGAAGAACCUUACCAACCCUUGACAUACUUGUCGCGAGUUCCAGAGAUGGAUCUCUUCAGUUCGGCUGGACAAUGUACAGGUGCUGCACGGCUGUCGUCAGCUCGUGUCGUGAGAUGUUGGGUUAAGUCCCGCAACGAGCGCAACCCCUAUUGUUAGUUGCCAGCAUUCAGUUGGGCACUCUAGCGAAACUGCCGGUGAUAAGCCGGAGGAAGGUGGGGGACGACGUCAAGGUCAUCAUGGCCCUUACGGGGUUGGGGCUAGAAACGUGGCUACAAUGGGCAAUGACAAUGAGCUAAUCUCUAAAAAUUGUCUCAGUUCGGGAUUGUGGGG